UACGUAGGAUCCAAGCGCUAUCCGGAAUUAUUGGGCGUAAAGAGCUCGUAGGCGGUCUGUCGCGUCUGCUGUGAAAACUCGGGGCUUAACCCCGGGCCUGCAGUGGGUACGGGCAGGCUAGAGUGCGGUAGGGGAGACUGGAAUUCCUGGUGUAGCGGUGAAAUGCGCAGAUAUCAGGAGGAACACCGGUGGCGAAGGCGGGUCUCUGGGCCGUAACUGACGCUGAGGAGCGAAAGCGUGGGGAGCGAACAGG
rnacentral:rRNA from 1 species